rnacentral:rRNA from 1 species
UACGUAGGGACCAAGCGUUGUUCGGAUUUACUGGGCGUAAAGGGCGCGUAGGCGGCAAUUCAAGUCAUCUGUGAAAUCUCCGGGCUUAACCCGGAACGGUCAGAUGAUACUGCUUUGCUAGAGUGCGGAAGGGGCAAUCGGAAUUCUUGGUGUAGCGGUGAAAUACGUAGAUAUCAAGAGGAACACCUGAGGUGAAGACGGGUUGCUGGGCCGACACUGACGCUGAUAGCGCGAAAGCCAGGGGAGCAAACGGG